UCCCUCCACCCUGGGUGGCCCCGGCUCGGACGGCUGUUCUCGGAGCGGGAUGGACGCCUCCUGGAUGCCGCCUCCUUCCGUCUGUGUCCGUCACCGCCUCGCUGGGGCUUCAGGCUCUGCCCGGAAGCUCGUGCUCACUGCUGCCCACACCUGCUACGGGACAGAUGGCUGGACACCAGGCCGGUCGGCCGGGCAAGGGCCUGGCAGGAUGGCGGCUCAGGUUGGCCCGUGGAUCGAAACGACGUCCCCACUCGAGAGGUUUCUUUGCAGCCACCUCUGCUCUCCCUGCCCCAGCAGCCGACCGGUGGCUCUUUCAGGGGCACGGCAUUGGGAGCAGGCCACACGCCAAAGGAGGUCACCUUGAGGAGGACUUGUUGUCUGAGGGAGACUGAUGUGGGACCUGUUCGCCAUGAUGGCUCACCCCAACUGUCCUUGUCGCUCACGGGGUCACAGCCGACUGUGGUUCUUGCAGCUUGCUGGGCGGCCGGUCAGGGUAACCUGAGGGCAGAAUUGACCCUGCAGAUUAGGUCCUGUGGGUGCCCAGCCCUCCUCCCCAGCCCCUUCUCCUCCAGGCCACCCUAGUGGGUCCUGUCCAUCUGCGCCUUCGGCUGCGGGAGGGGGCACCUGAGGGUUCCUCCAGAAGCUUCCUGAGUUCCCCCUGACCCUGGGCCCACCUCAUUGUCCUCUUCUGCCCUGUUCUCAGGUGAGAUGGAGGAGGGAGGUGGGGCCAGUGUGUGGCCAGGGGCCUGAGCAGCCACCCUACCUCUCCUCUCCCCUUCCCAGGUCGGAGGACAUUGAUGGACGUGGCCUGGGCAGGGCGGGGGUCCAGCGUGGCCGGGGGGGCCCCGCAGAGCCCCAUCGGUCACCCCGGCUCUGCCGGAGCCCCCGCUCCUCCGGUUGUGAGGGCCUUGUGCUCUGCUCAGCCAGCCACACGUGUGCAUGUGUAUAUGUGUAUCUGUGACUUUCCUUUGGAUUUGUUUCUGUGUUUCUGUAAAUCAGUCCCCAAAAUGUUAAGGCUUGCUGGGGGAGAGCAGUGGCCCACCCCUACCCCUGGGGGAGACAGAGGUCACAGCUCUUAAGGUCUUCUUCGGAGGGGCAGGCGGCUGAGCCUGCAUGAACUUGGGGAAGGGUGGGUCCCACCUCCUGGCCCAUCCCGGCUGCUUGCUGGGGACGGGCAGGGACGAGCAGGAACAGUGUACAUAGAUGUGUGUAUUCCGAUGGGUCCAGAUUUUAUUUUUGUUUGUUUGAGUUUUGUUGUGUUUUUUUUAAAUAAGAGCAGUCCUUUGUCUACCGCACGCCUGGCGCAGGUGAACCUCGCUCCUCCUGGAAUUCAGCAUCGCCGUCAUUAAACCAUGUGCGUCGUGCCC
rnacentral:lncRNA from 1 species